rnacentral:rRNA from 1 species
UACAGAGGGUGCAAGCGUUAUUCGGAAUCACUGGGCGUAAAGAGCUCGUAGGCGGUUAAUUAAGUCAAAUGUGAAAGCCCUGGGCUCAAUCCAGGAAGUGCAUCUGAUACUGAUUGACUGGAGUGCAGGAGAGGAAAGCGGAAUUCCAGGUGUAGAGGUGAAAUUCGUAGAUAUCUGGAGGAACAACAGAAGCGAAGGCGGCUUUCUGGACUGUCACUGACGCUGAGGAGCGAAAGCGUGGGGAGCAAACAGG